UUGGCUAUGUUGCUCGCUCUGCCUUCAAGGUUCUCAAAACUUCUGUUUCUUCUUCUUCUUCUAACUAACUAACUAACUUUGAGUUAACAGCUAGUACAGAUACAGAAGCAGCACAAGCUCAUCAAGGCUGGCUCAUCCGUACUGGACCUCGGCUGUGCUCCGGGUGCUUGGCUUCAAGUUGCUUGCCAGAGCCUCGGUCCUCCCAAUCAUGGCGGUUCCGUUCUCGGCAUCAAUCUCAAGGUAACCCAAACCUCCAUCUCUCUCUUCCAUGGAAACACAGCUGAUAUUGUUGAAAUGUAUGUUACACUUUUUGAAGUCAAAGAGAGAAACUUGGAUUGGAGAAUACGCCAAAUAAUUAUUGUGCUUUCCUUUGCAUUCAGGUUUUUCAGUCGACUUAGAAUGGUUCCAGUAAUUGCAUUAGUUGGUUUUGAACUAUUUAACAGAGGGUUCCUUGUGGUACAUAUAACACCAGCCCCACUUACUGCAUUAUUAAUAGUGAAAUUCACGAUUAUUUUCUCAUCACUAAUAUGGUUUAGUAUACUAUUCUUAAUCUAAAUCUUUUGUGUUAGGUUGGGAGCUGCAUCGAAAUUGGAAUUCCCAUGCUAAUACUGUUUAUAGCCUUGUCUCAGGUACAAUUUAAAAGUAGACACUAAUGGAUUAGAAUUCUCGUGUCUAUCUUUCUCAAGGCAUAUUAAUUUUGGCAUGUUUCUUAGUAUUAUUGUAUAAUUAGGUAGCUGUUAUUGUAUAGGACAAGGGAAUAACAAGACAAUCCCAUCCAAAACUAAAAGAAGCACUCAUGAUCACGUAGGUCUAGUCGAUAUAUAACUGAAGCUAUAUACAUCUUUUACAUGAAUUAAACCAUCAUUCAUGCAGAAUAUAUAUAAUCAUCACCAUUAACACUUUUCAGUUUUUCCUACUCCCUACUUGGCACGCUAAUAAUGUCUUUCUCUAAUUUUAAUGAUUUACUUUGGGCUUCAAAUAAUUGAGUUUAUAUAUGAUUUACUUUCAGUUUUUCCUACUCCCUACUGGCGAUGGAUCUGUUAGACGAGAUCAAGUUGGUGGGGUCAAAAUACUCAGGUUAAUAUUUCAAUUGCAUAACCCUUAUAGAGUUCUAUUUUAUGUUUCAGAAUUGUUAUUCUGGUAAAUAAGGUUUAGUUCAAUAUUUAAUCUGUAUUGGUUUCUGUGUUGUUGGCUUAUGUAUUUUGCAGCUUGUUCAACAGGGUUCACUGAAUUAUAUUAGUUCCCAGGUAAAGCUGGCCCUCCUUGUCUCUCCCAAGUCUUGAAGACAUACUUAAUCAAUUUUUAACCCUUUAAUUCUUAUCUUCUGUGAGCUCUGAAGCAAUGGUAAAAGGAUUGGAGGAGUUAGUAAUCAAUUUUUAACCCUUUAAUCUGAGAAGGCUCAAAGUGAGCUGGAGCAUAGUCCAAUCUUCUCAUUCAGAACCAGAGAGUUGGAGCAUAGUCCAAUCACUAGUCUUCCACUACUACAUUACUAUAUAUCGAGAGUGCGUUUGAGCCUACAAGCUUCUAACUAAUAUUUUUCUCUUCAUGGAACAGUUGGUUGAAUCUAUUUUAAGCAAGGUUGUAGAAGAGUUCGAGCAUCAGAUUGCAAGCAGAGGAGGUGAACAGUUACAACCAAAAAUAACUUCAAGAGAUCCUGUUUCUCAAAGCAAUGGGUCUUCAAGAGGUGAACAGUUACAACAAAAAAUUUCUUGAAUGUAAGUAGAAUUGUCCAAUGAACAUGACAGCAUAGCAAAGAAAUAGGAAAGUGCUGUUGAUUCCUUUUAUUGUUGAUCUUUUUCUAGUCAUAUUCUAGCACUUGUUCUGUUUGGUUUAUUUUCUUGAGAGUAAAAACUAAAACGAGGUUCAGGGCAUACUAUAAGAGGUGAAUUUAAUACAUUAACAGAUGUAAUACAUUCGUUUUUUUUGAAAGAUAAUAUAAAAAAUAAUUAUUUUUAUUGUGGCAUGUAAUUGGAUGUAUUUGUAAAUUAAAUUCUUUUAAACAUUAGCCUGAAAAGAAAAUGUGCAAGUUUCAUUGAACCUUGAAAAGGGAUCGAGAUGGGGGGAGGGGCGGCGGGGGCACCCGAUUUCUUCUACAAGGAAGCUCAGCGCCUUGGCUAUGUUGCUCGCUCUGCCUUCAAGGUUCUCGAAACUUCUGUUUCUUCUUCUUCUUCUAACUAACUAACUAACUUUGAGUUAACAGCUAGUACAGAUACAGAAGCAGCACAAGCUCAUCAAGGCUGGCUCAUCCGUACUGGACCUCGGCUGUGCUCCGGGUGCUUGGCUUCAAGUUGCUUGCCAGAGCCUCGGUCCUCCCAAUCAUGGCGGUUCCGUUCUCGGCA
rnacentral:lncRNA from 1 species